rnacentral:misc_RNA from 1 species
GAUGAAUAACGUAGCGAAAUGCGAUAAGUAAUGUGAAUUGCAGAAUUCAGUGAAUCAUCGAAUCUUUGAACGCACCUUGCGCUCCUUGGCAUUCCGAGGAGCAUGCCUGUUUGAGUGUCAUUAAAUUCUCAAGACCUGUCUGCUUUUUUGAUAGGUAUUGGAUUUUGGGGGUUGCAGGCUGUUUCAAAUAAAUAGCCUUGCUCUCCUUGAAUGUAUUAGUGGAGAAAAGCCAUUGAACUCCAUUGGUGUGAUAAAACCUAUCAAUGCCAGGAGCAAUAUCACUACUUCUCUCUGCUGUCUAACUGUGACUGUCUGUAUUAAUUAGUAUGGAUGGGGACAACUUGACCAACUUGACCUCAAAUCAGGUAGGACUACCCGCUGAACUUAAGCAUAUCAAUAAGCGGAGG